GACGAACGCUGGCGGCGUGCUUAACGCAUGCAAGUCGAACGGAAAGGCCCUGCUUUUGUGGGGUGCUCGAGUGGCGAACGGGUGAGUAACACGUGAGUAACCUGCCCUUGACUUUGGGAUAACUUCAGGAAACUGGGGCUAAUACCGGAUAGGAGCUCCUGCUGCAUGGUGGGGGUUGGAUAGUUUCGGCGGUUGGGGAUGGACUCGCGGCUUAUCAGCUUGUUGGUGGGGUAGUGGCUUACCAAGGCUUUGACGGGUAGCCGGCCUGAGAGGGUGACCGGCCACAUGGGGACUGAGAUACGGCCCAGACUCCUACGGGAGGCAGCAGUGGGGAAUAUUGCACAAUGGGCGGAAGCCUGAUGCAGCAACGCCGCGUGCGGGAUGACGGCCUUCGGGUUGUAAACCGCUUUCGCCUGUGACGAAGCGUGAGUGACGGUAAUGGGUAAAGAAGCACCGGCUAACUACGUG
rnacentral:rRNA from 1 species